rnacentral:rRNA from 1 species
GAUGAACGCUGGCGGCGUGCCUAAUACAUGCAAGUCGAGCGAAAAGACGCGGAUGUUGCUCCUCUCAUAUUAGCGGCGGACGGGAGAGUAACACGUAGAUAACCUACCUAUAGGACUAGGAUAAGUUCGCGAAACCGGACCUAAUACCGUAUAACAUGUUGAACCGCAUGGUUCAACAGUGAAAGACGGUCUUGCUGUCACUUAUAGCUGUAUCCGCGCCGGAUGAGCGAGUUGGUACGGUAGCGGCUGACCAAGGCAACGAUGCGUAGCCGACCUGGGAGGGAGAGGGGCCAGGCCGGAACUGAGGAACGGUCAAGAGUGGAACGGGAGGCAGCAGUAGCGCAUAUGCCGGGCAGGAGGAAAGCAUGAUGGAGCAACGCGGCGAGAGUGAUGAAGGACUUCGGAGCGCACAACGCUGGUAUUAGGAAAGAAAAAUGGUGUCAGCAACUAUGAAGAUAUUGACGGUACCUGCAGAGGAAGCGACGGCUAACUACGUG